GGGUUGUUAGCUCAGUCGGUAGAGCAGCGGACUUUUAAUCCGUUGGUCGCAGGUUCAAGUCCUGCACAACCCACCA
rnacentral:tRNA from 9 species